rnacentral:rRNA from 1 species
UAGAGGAAGUAAAAGUCGUAACAAGGUUUCCGUAGGUGAACCUGCGGAAGGAUCAUUACCGAGCGAGGGUCCCURCCCGGGGCCCGACCCUCCACCCGUGCCGUAUCGACCUCUUUGUUGCUUUGACGGCCUGCAAGGCUCCCUYUACCGGRAGUCUUCCGCUGGCUUCCAGCGGAGAAGCAUCCRUCAGAGACCACACUCAACCCUUCGUAAUCCAUGUUGUCCGAGCUAUGAUAAAUAAUUUAAAACUUUCAACAACGGAUCUCUUGGUUCUGGCAUCGAUGAAGAACGCAGCGAAAUGCGAUAAGUAAUGUGAAUUGCAGAAUUCAGUGAAUCAUCGAAUCUUUGAACGCACAUUGCGCCCCCUGGCAUUCCGGGGGGCAUGCCUGUCCGAGCGUCAUUACAUCCCUCGAGCCUGGCUCGGUAAUGGAGAUCGCCCCGCGGGACGUCUCCCAAAAGCAGCGCGCGAGGCCCUUGGAUCGUUCGGCGAAGUAUGACUUACGUUCCGCCGCUACGUCCGGGUGCCUCUGCCAGACAACUUGCUUUACGCAUCUACGAUUGACCUCGGAUCAGGUAGGGAUACCCGCUGAACUUAAGCAUAUCAAUA